rnacentral:lncRNA from 1 species
CGACGAAGUGCUUGAUGAAUUUCUGACGCCAAGCUGGGGGGUUUCGGUUGAGAAGUUGGAGGACAAAGAGGCCUCCCAAGCUGUGGGAGACAAGUAUUACUGGCUUUCCUCCAUUGGAAGUGCUUGCUUUUUCUAUCAAAUCUUUGAGGUCCUCAAGGAACUUGGAACCAACACGUGAUGGGUGACCAUCUGCCGCUAGACCGUAUCGAAAGUCAUAUGGAGCUCCGAAUAAUGUUUCGCCAUCAACGUAACCCAUUUGCUCCAGAGAUUUCACCAGGGGCCCCAUGUAUGCUGUGAUGCGCCUGCCAAUGGGACCAAUGUUAGAUGUAAAUGUGCCUGUUCCUCUUUUUGUUACUGCCAAUACUAAACAGUAAAUCCCUUCCUGCAAUUAGUACAGUUGACUGCUAAAUAUCUUCUAUAACUUCAGUUGUUAAUUGGUUCCACCUUGGAUGACUAUGAAUUAGGACAAUCUUCAGUCUUCACUAGUUAUCAAAAUUUAGUAUGGCUCUACACUUCAUGCUUGAACUUCGAUAUAAAAAUGCAUACAUUUAACUUUUGAAAACAAGAAUGGUUCUAAAAACUUAAAUCCAAAGACCACUUUAAGCUUCUGUGUAAACAAAAUCAAAUGGGUUCAGCUGUUAUCUCUCCACUCGUUCAGUAAAACAAACUCACAAUUUUAAAUGGAUGACAAAAUGAACAAAUAAACAUCUCCAAAUGACCAACGGCAGCCAAAAUUCAACAGUCUCCCGCGGAAAGAAAUGGUAUUUGGAUUCCAGCCCAGUCAUUGGACCUUAUUCCCAUCACUGGUUGGGCUUAAGUGUUGUAGCCAGGCUGACACUGCUCUAUACAGUUUUCUCUGGGUCAUCCAUUCAAACUAAUUUUUGUUGCUGGAUUUGGUGAAGAGUUCCUAUUCAGAGUUUCCAUAAUAUUAUGAAAUAUGCAUACAUAUAAUUAAAAUAAUCAUACCAUCUAUCCACUCAAAGAAAUAUAUUCAUCCCAGAGUAGAACACUCUUCCGUAGAGAGUAUAUGCCACUCUGCUAGAAGGACUAUUUCACUAGACUGACUAGAUAAUGGGACAGAGGCCCCAGGAGUCAGGAGUCAAAAACGGCCCAAAUGUGUUGAAAUUGUGGAGCACAUGUUUAAGCUGAAAAGAUUACCAAGAAAGAAAGAAACAGGGUAGAGCGGCGGCUUACUUGAGAUGAGGAUCUAAAUGAAGAAGGGAGCGAGUAGAACCAAAGCUAGGGACCCUGGUUUCAACACCAGGGGUAUUUACAUAAUCAUCAAGUUGUGGGUCAUAGUAAAGCAUCAUCCGCUGGGCAAAGCAUUGAGUGAAUGGACCAACGACUUGGGCGGGGUCGAACCACAGCCUGAACCACCCUUCUUUGUCCUUCAAAGGCGGAUAGAGUCGGCUGCACAGCAAGCUCGACGGUUUGUACCCAUCCGUAAGCCUUGCUUCUAGCUGAUUUCCACCACUCCCCGGCACCAGGAUCAGAGGGUGGAGGUUGCUGCUCGCCUGACAUGUGUACCACAUCACGGCCAUCGAAACCAUCGCGAAUAUUAAGCCCAAUCCCUUCAUUUUUGGAUUUUGGAGAGAGAAUUGGAACCUUGGAGAUUCAGACCCACUGUCUGCAAUUCGGACGUCGCCACAUACAACUGUGUGGUGGAGAACCUCCCGACGUGGCUGGUUAAAUAGGAGGGAAUUGAUUUCCCCUUCUCUUGUGGACUCGUUGACUAAUUUUGCUAGAAGCUUAGAAAGAAAAAAAAAAGAUAAAAACUUGACAUGAAAGAUAGAAAAAUAUUACUUAUAAUAUAAGCUUUAUUUGAAGCUAUAUAAAAAGUUUUUUGAAUUUAGCAUACAUAAUACAUAGUCAAUCCUAACUAUGAUUUGCCAACUCCAAGAGAAGAACACUCAUAAAAUUUUUAAGUAAUUUAAAAUUCUCCUCAUGUGAAAUAUGAUGAUUAUUAAUUAAAACUGUCAAAAGAAAAUGAGUACAAUAUUUGAUAUUAUUUUUCUUUCAUUGAAUGAUGCAUUCUUCUCUCUUAUUUGUCAAAUACAUCCAUUAUACAACCUUCAUUUCAAGACCUUCAAUAUCACAUCCACUAUGGUAACAUCUCUAUAAAAUAAUAAUUUUUAAAUCUAAACGAAAUUAUUCUAUUUGUAAAAUUAUUAAUUUAUCGAUAAAUAAAAUAAAUUUACUAAUUUAUCGAUAAGUAAAUAUUUAUUAAUUUAGAUAAAAUAUUAUGCUUUUACUAUAUAUAAUUUGCAUAUGUAUGAAUUAUAAAAUUAUUAAUUUAGUAUAUUGGUUCAAAUUAAGAUCAUAAAAUUUAUUAUUUAUGUGGGAUUAUCAAUUUAUUGAAUAUUUAUUUAUUGAGGUUUUAUUAAAUUUACCCAUGCGUCAAAAUGGUUUAAAGACGUUAAAAAGCGAUAAAAGAUAUUGGAUUCUCCUCAAAGUUCUAUCAUUUUUUUAAUAAUAAAAUAUGAAGAAAAUAAAUAAAUAAAUGUGAAGUGAUCGAGACUAAUACGGUUUUAAGUGUAUAUUAAAAAAAAGAGUGAAUUAGGUAUCGGUCAAAUCUUAAUUUUUAAGAUGUAAUAUAAAUGAUGAUGCUAAAUACAAUAACAAUGAAAAAAAAUAAAAACAACGAAAAUAAAUAAAGACAUGAAGAAAGAAACGCAAACAAUUAUUAUAAUAAUUACUUAAUUAGGUUCACUUUUUCUGAGCUCUUUUCGACCUUGAGAUUUUUUCCUCAACUCAUGAGAACUACUUCAACUAAAGCCCCCUAGUCUUAUUACAUUUGGAUUCUAGGUUCAAACAAAUUUUUACAAUGUUUGGAGUGAUGGAUCCUUUACACUUAAUCAAACAUUUCUUUUAUUUUUUAUCGAAACGUAAGUCAGAAUUUAUAUAAAAGAUAUAUUCACUUAACUUUGGGGAAAUGGUUUUUUCAAGUUUAGAAGUAAGUGCACUAAAAAAGAGUGUUCAUUAUGCUCUUUUGUAAAUGACAUUGUAAUCUCAUAAAUAAAUUUCGAAAGUUCUAAAUAUAAGUUCGAAAUUGGAACUUCCCGUUAGACAUAAGCUACAGUUCAAUCUGCCCAUCAAACGACCAACUAUUUAACUAGUCGAGGUUGCAACUAAUCGUUGGAUGGUUGGACGUCAACUAAAUGUUGCAAAAUCGAUUGGUACCUCGACUGAACAUGGCUCGCCUAAACCCAAAGUUUAUGAAAUAUUUUCAUGUAGGAAGCAAAAAUUUAAGGUCAACCUUUGUAGCUUUAAAUGCUCGGAAACCCAAACUGCAAACAAAAAUUUAAAGUCAACCUUUAUUGCUUUAAAUGCUCCUGUAUCACCGAGUCAUGAAGGAGCCUCACGAACCUUAUGAUCAUUCUAAGGCAACUGACCGGCAAAUAAUGGAAGCUAAAAGACAAAAACAUCUGCUUGAGCUUUUCUUAAGAAAAGAAGAGUUACAGCAAAUAGUAUUUGGGAACAUUUCCCCACCCAGAGUUACUCGAGAGAUACAAAAUCCCUUGGAGUAGAGAAAAACAAAAAGGUCCUUGUGAGUGAAUGGGUUAUCCUCAUAAUCCGUAGUAGAGACAAAAUUCGACAUUUGGAAACAAGGUAACGAACAUCUUGCUGAGUCCUUAACUUUGUAGAAGUUAAUCAAAGUCAGGAUGAGAUUCAACUAGAAAAUGUCCUUGAACCUUGACAAAUCGACCUAAUCUCACCGGCAAUGACAAUGAUAUUUAUCAACCUCAAUAUGGUGUGCUUGUCAGUUGUCAUUGCUUCACCAAUAGCCAAACUAUAUCAAGUGCUUUUGAGAUAUGCUCAACUUCACACGGCUUACCACUAUUUAGAACUUCAUUUUUGAAAAUGUUUCUCAGAUUAGAUCAUAACUAGGCCCUUGGCCUCAUAUAGAGUGCUUAAUUCCCACCAAUGAAAGACUUAUUUUAUCUGCAACUCCAUGGAUCUCUCCGACGAGUUGAUGCUGCAAGUGAUGCAUGGGUAUCUCUCAUACUUCAAAUUACGCUAAGAAAUGACCCUUUUGGAUGAAUUCCUGACCAAAAAUAACCAGGUGAACGGCAGCAAAAUUGGAGCAUUGCAAAUGUAUGAAAGAUCCUGUAUACUGGUGGAAGAUUUUCAUUGAAAUUUGAGGGUUUCCCUGAAGUUGGAACCUAGUGUUACGGAUUGAAAUAUAGUAAACGCUCCCAAUUGCCAACCAAUUGAUCACUGAUCAAUUAGGCUCUUUACAUGAUGAAUAUCAGAAUUAAUACCUGAAAUUUCUUUUACUAUUCUAUUAACUGCUUUUUCGUCUUGGAAUAUUGAAAUAUGAGAAGCCCCUUCGAUUCUAAUAGUCUUAAGGGGUUGAUUUUGCUGAUCAGCCCACUCCAAUUGAAGAGCUUCCAAGCUUACCAUGUUCACUGUCCCAUCUCCAUCCCCAUAAACAAUCUCCGGUUGCUUAUCAAAACCACUUUCAUCAUAGAACAGUGUUUCUGCUGUUUUAACACCACUCCCGAAUAUACAGGUGACAGGCACCGCAGGCGCUGGUAACCGUUCCAACAAAGGCACAAUGCGAGAUUGGUAAGGAUGGAUUCCUCCCGAAAACCCAAUGUCAUUGAGGAACUGCACAACAUCAUUUGCUGUAUAAGUAGCAUUUAAUGUGACCGCAAAUGGUUGCGCACCAAACACUUUAGGAGAAGGAAUGAGCCAUAAGUUGCUCUCUGAGCUCCUCUGCUGCCCCCUCACCAGCAAUGGAUCAACUAGGGGUGCUCCCAGUGUGUAGCCAGAAGCAAGGUUGUGCACUUCCUGCACUGCGCCGCCCCAAGGAGUGGCCAGUGCAACGAAGUGCUUGAUAAAUUUCUGGCGCCAAGAUGGGGGGUUUCGGUUGAGAAGUUGGAGGACAAACAGGCCUCCCAAGCUGUGGGAGACGAGGAUUACUGGUUUUCCUCCAUUAGAAGUGCUUGCUUUUUCUAUCAAAUCUUUGAGGUCCUCAAGGAACUUGGAACCCACACGUGAUGGGUGACCAUCUGCUGCUAAACCGUAUCGAAAAUCAUAUGGAGCUCCGAAUAAUGUUUUGCCAUCAACGUAACCCAUAUGCUCCAGAGCUUUCACCAGGGCCCCCAUGUAUGC